GACCAUGUAGUAGUGGUUAGUACUCCACGUUGUGGCAGUGGCGACGGUGGUUCGAUUCCACCCAUGGGCA
rnacentral:tRNA from 1 species